rnacentral:rRNA from 1 species
UGGCUCAGCGGCAACGGGUGAGUAAUGGACAGGUAACGUACCCCAAGACGUGGAUAGCUCAUCGAAAGAUGAGAUAAUACGCGAUAAUGUUGCAGAGCGCCGGCUCUGCAAAGAAAGCGGGCGCAAGCUCGCGCUUCCGGAUCGGCCUGUCUCCUAUCAGCUAGUUGGCGGGGUAAGGGCCCACCAAGGCGAUGACGGGUAGCUGGUCUCAGAGGAUGGUCAGCCACAUUGGAACUGCGACACGGUCCAGACUCCUACGGGAGGCAGCAGUGGGGAAUCAUGGUCAAUGGGCGAAAGCCUGAACCUGCGACGCCGCGUGAGAGAUGAAGGUCGUAAGAUCGUAAAACUCUUUUCAGGAAUCUUAAAGCCUGUCCGUCAACAACGGGCAGGUCUGACUCUCCCUGGAAUAAGCCCCAGCCAACUACGUGCCAGCAGCUGCGGUAAUACGUAGGGGGCGAGCGUUAUUCGGAAUUACUGGGUGUAAAGGGUAUGUAGGCGGUCUCGCGAGUCGCACGUAAAAGUCC